UACGUAGGGGGCGAGCGUUGUCCGGAAUCAUUGGGCGUAAAGAGCUCGUAGGCGGCUUGGCAAGUCGGAUGUGAAAACUCCAGGCUCAACCUGGAGCCGCCAUUCGAUACUGCUAUGGCUAGAGUCCGGUAGGGGAGUGUGGAAUUCCCGGUGUAGCGGUGAAAUGCGCAGAUAUCGGGAGGAACACCGAUGGCGAAGGCAGCACUCUGGGUCGGCACUGACGCUGAGGAGCGAAAGCGUGGGGAGCGAACAGG
rnacentral:rRNA from 1 species